CAUGUGGGUCCAAACAGUGAUCUAGCUUCUGAGUAGAGAAGGCUUAAAAUAGUGGUAAUCAUUCCAGCAGCUGCCGUUUGCUGAGCGCUUGCUGUGAGCAGGCACCCUGCCAAGAGCUCUUCAUGUGUGACCUCAUGUCCACCUCUCUCCCUGGGAGCCAACGGCUCUUCGUGUGGGACUACAAGCUGUCCUGUACCUGGCAGGACCUGAAGACUGACGUGCUCAGGGCUGGGGAGCAGCAUGUUGUCUUCUAGGGAAGACACCAGGCCUGAGCUGGCUCCAGCCUGGCCAUUCUCUGUUUCCUGCUCUCCCACUACAGGGCCAAGGAGAUGUGACUCUGUGAAGCCCAUGGCUCCUUUCUAAUGUGGGAUAUCAUUAGCCCCAUUUUAUAUGUGCUCAGAAGGUUUAAGACAUUUACUUGUGACUCUAAGUCGCAUGAGUUUCCUAUUCUCCAGUGCUUGGAGGCCAGGUUCCAGGUGAAUGUAAAAACCUUGAUCUGGAGGUUAAGUGCCUCUCCUUUCUACCUGGGGACAGGUGUGCAGGAAGAACUAAUGGCUCCACCUGAGGCUAGGCAACACUGUAGUGAGCCCCGCAGCAUCAGCCUGCAUUUUAUUUCAGGUAGUUUUUAUACAAAAACAUCUUGAUGAAGCUUUUGUAUUAGAACUUCAGACAAAGGAAUGGAGAUGAACUGAAUAUAUGUGGAAUAUAUAUAAUACGUACUGAAUACAUAUAAUGUGGAUGUAAUUAGAUAUGUUAAUUGAACAGUUUUCAUUUUUACUUGUUGCAUAAAAUUCCCUUGCUUGAAAAUUGUUAUUUUAAAAAUGAGGAAACUGGACUCAAUAAGAUCAGAUGACUUAUCUAUGGUCAUGGAGUUAGC
rnacentral:lncRNA from 1 species